UUCUUUAAAAUUAAAGAUUUUGGCGGUAUUUUAGUCUUUUCAGAGGAACCUGUUUUUUAAUCGAUAGUCCACGAUGAAUUUUACUUUAGCUUUAAAUUUGCAUAUCGUCGUUUAUAAAUAUUUUAUUAUUAAAUUUUUUCAGAUCAAGGUGUAGUUUAUGCUUAAGUAAAAAUGGGUUACAAUAAAAAUUUUAAAUAAAUUGGAUUUGAAAGUAAGCUCUAAAAUAUGUACAUAUCGCCCGUCGCUUUCGUUAUAAAAUGAAAUAAGUCGUAACAAAGUAGGCUUAUUGGAAAAUGAGCCUAGAAUGCAAAUUAGAGCUUGAUAAGCAUUUUAUUUACAUUAAAAAGUUAGUUGUUGGAUUCAACUUAGUUUGAACUUGUUAUAUUAUUGAUUUUAUUAUUUAAUGUUUUUGAUAGAAAAAUUUAAUUUUUUAUUAUUUUUUAGAAUAAAUAUAAUUAUAGUUUAUUGUACAGUGAUGGAUUUAUUUAAAGUGUUUUAAAGAAAAUUUUAUUUAUUGUACCUUGUGUCUCAGGGUUAAUUAAUUUAUUUUUCUCGAAUUUAAAAGAGCUAAUUUUAUUGUAAAAUAAAUAUUUAUAAUAAUUAAUUAGAAAUGAAACGUUAUUCGUUUUUAAAUAUAUCUAGUUUCUUAAGAAAAAAAUUUAAUUUUAUUGUUAUUAGUAAUUUAUAUAAGGGAUAAGCUUUUAUUUAGAUCUUUAAAAAUUUAUAUAAUUUUAAAAAAUAUAGGAUUAGAAUUUUCUAUUAUUAAAAUAAUGUUAUAAUUGAAUUUUUUAACUUUUUUAUUAAGAUUUAUUUACUAAUAUUUUUUAUUUAGUAAUAAUGAUUGAAUUAGUAAGUUUAUAAUAAGGAAUUCGGCAAAUUUAUUUUCACCUGUUUAAUAAAAACAUGUCUUUUUGAUUAUAAUUUAAAGUCUUGCCUGCCCAAUGAUUUAAUGGCCGCAGUAUUUUGACUGUGCAAAGGUAGCAUAAUCAUUAGUUUUUUAAUUGAAAGCUGGAAUGAAUGGUUUGAUGAGAAAUAGACUGUCUCUAUAACUUUAAUUUUAAGUGAAAAAGCUUAAAUUUUAUAGAAAGACGAGAAGACCCUAUAGAGUUUUUUUGUUGGGGUGAUGUAAAAAUUUAAUUAACUUUUUAUUUUUAUGAUUUUUUGAUCCUGGAUUAUAAGAAUAAAUUACUUUAGGGAUAACAGCGUAAUUUUUUUGGAAAGUUCUUAUU
rnacentral:rRNA from 1 species